UACGUAGGGGGCAAGCGUUGUCCGGAAUCAUUGGGCGUAAAGCGCGUGUAGGCGGCUCGAUAAGUCUGCUGUGAAAGUCCAGGGCUCAACCCUGGAAAGCCGGUGGAAACUGUCGGGCUAGAGUCCGGAAGAGGCGAGUGGAAUUUCCGGUGUAGCGGUGGAAUGUGUAGAGAUCGGAAAGAACACCAGUGGCGAAGGCAGUUUUCGGGCUGACAACUGACGCUGAUGCACGAAAGCGUGGGGAGCAAACAGG
rnacentral:rRNA from 1 species